rnacentral:rRNA from 1 species
CCUACGGGAGGCAGCAGUGGGGAAUCUUAGACAAUGGGCGCAAGCCUGAUCUAGCCAUGCCGCGUGAGCGAUGAAGGCCUUAGGGUUGUAAAGCUCUUUCAGUGGGGAAGAUAAUGACUGUACCCACAGAAGAAGCCCCGGCUAACUCCGUGCCAGCAGCCGCGGUAAUAAUCACUA